UACAGGGGGUGCAAACGUUGCUCGGAAUCAUUGGGCGUAAAGCGCACGUAGGCGGUCUGUUAUGUCGGAUGUGAAAGCCCUUGGCUCAACUGAGGAAGUGCAUCCGAAACUGGCAGGCUAGAGUACGAAAGAGGAUCGCGGAAUUCCCGGUGUAGAGGUGAAAUUCGUAGAUAUCAGGAGGAACACCGGUGGCGAAGGCGGUUCUCUGGGCCUUACCUGACGCUGAGGAGCGAAAGCGUGGGGAGCGAACAGG
rnacentral:rRNA from 1 species